UUGCAGGUGUAGAGGAGCAAGUUUUGGUUGGAAUUGAAAUUCCUGAAAGCAAGGCAACUGAAUGGAUUAAAGCUCGAAAGCUCAUACCUGGAUGGUUUUUGUCACACCAAAAUGAAGUAUAAGAAAACCUUAUAAAAGAAGAUACAUACCUGUCUGGGCGUCCUUGCUAUCGUCGUUUCCAACCCGUCCGCAGGGUCUGCCACUCUUGGGUGCCCUUUUGGGUAAUGGUCUAGCUGUUUCCUUGCAUCCAUGCUGCUGCAGGGUUGUAGUCGUACCCGUGGCCAUGGUUAUCACUCAUCAACUUGGUCGUGCUCAUGUGGACUAUUUAUUUCCAACAAUGCCAUCAAACCAUCAGAGGUUCCUCACCGGUUUCCUUUUGCUGCACCUUUGUUUGGUUGCUCUAGGGUGAGAGGACCUCUCUGCGUCUGUAUGCUGAUUUGGUCAUGGAAUUCGAGCCUCAUUUACUGCACCUCUGGUUUGUGUAUUUUCAUGGAAUGCCACUCUCAAAUUAGUUUAGCUUUGUCCACACAUAUUAUGAUGUUUUGUGUCUAUUGCUGCCUUUGGCAUAUUUAAUCAUCUAUGUGUCUGCCAUGAAUUUAACAUGAAUAUAUUCCUGUUUUUUGUUACUUCUCUUGGCUUGGAUCACUAUGUUUGUUCUUCCUUUGCCUUUCAAUACAUCAAGGUGAGCUUCACACAUCGUUCCCUCUUUUAUUAUAUUCAGGCAAUGAAGGAUCAGUACACGCCCAAUCUUCUGUGGCCUCCUCUCAUAAGAACUUCUACAUCGCUGUAUGAAAAUAGCUUUUCUUUGUCCAUGUGAUUAUUUGGGGAUUUUUGCCCAUAAAAAUAGCUUCUGAUGCCAAUACCGAGAUGUUAUUGAUGCAUGUGAGCCGCUCUAAUUGACUGUAUUUUAGAAAUCGUGUACCCCACGAUUUUGGAAACCAUGUAAAUGAGUUAAUUGAGGACUGUAAGAUCCCUUAUCAGAUUAUAUCAUUUGUUGCUAACUCAUGUUCCUUCAAACGCUUGCAGGGUUGGAUUGGAUAUUCACAGAACUUUAUACCAUAUACUUUGGGCAUUGCUGAAACAACUGAAUGUCAAAGGUGCUUAUGGGUUGUCCUACAAUUUGUGUGGAUGUAUUUAGCUGUGGCGUUUAUGGUAGCUGCAGCAGCUUGUCAAUUAGUUCUUAGUCAAGGACAGGCACCAAUACAUGCUACCACUUAAUUCAGGUCAUGGUACCACUUAAUUCAGGCCAUUGUACCUGCAACGUCCGGUCUUCAUGGGAAUGCGUACCGCCGUCGAAUCCUAUUGACCCGCACUCGAUCCCGACCCUCGAUUGGGGUCGAUGAACCCGGUACACGGGACACGGCGUCGACCCGCGUUCCCGGCUACUAUGGUCUUAACGCGAGGAGGUGCCGAGAUACACGAGGGGUUGGAGCAGGACUGCAAGAGGAGUUGAGGACAUGUUUUGUUUUAGAUCCACCUGAUUAGUCCCAAGUUUUUGCAAGGUCUGCUUCUUAUGCAGAGGUUUCUUUUGAUGGGCAGCCUAGCCAAUUAAUUAUGUUUGGAUCACUCUGGGCAAUUCUCUCUGGAGUUGAGAGUACUCUGAGCACUGCCCAUAGCGUGCCACGACGACCGUUUGCACUAUAGGAGCCUCGCGACACAGUCCUCAUAUGAGAAGUGGGGAUUCCACCAGCAUUCUCACAAAUAGGAGGCACUACCGAGUUACUAAUGACUAUACAUGCCUGCUGUGUGAUAAUCCUCCCGAGGAAACCCUGGCAAUUCUCUAGGGUGACUUGGCCAAACUCUGAAUGCAGACUUGAGAUGUUGCACAUGGGAAAACAAACUUGGCACAAACCUCUGUUCAUGGAAACUUUCAUUGUUGCCGUAUGGGGGAUCUGGAUGGAGAGAAAUGACAAGUCCUUCAGAGGAAUGCCCAUGCAAGCAUUAUCCAACAAUAACAAGUCUUCUUAUUCAUGCAUGCACACCCUUAGAAGACCACAAUGGGCCUAAGAAAUCUUCUCUGCUCAAAUUAUGUAUGCGUAUCUAUAUGAGGCAUCUCUCCUAUGUUGCUUGCUUUUUAAAAGCAUUGUAAAUGGCUAUCAAAACUUCUUAUAACGCUGUGUAUCAGCAUCAUACCUAAGUAUAUAUUUCCUUAUAACUAAA